UGGGGAAUUUUGGACAAUGGGCGCAAGCCUGAUCCAGCCAUGCCGCGUGCGGGAAGAAGGCCUUCGGGUUGUAAACCGCUUUUGUCAGGGAAGAAAUCUUCUGAGUUAAUACCUCGGGAGGAUGACGGUACCUGAAGAAUAAGCACCGGCUAACUACGUGCCAGCAGCCGCGGUAAUACGUAGGGUGCAAGCGUUAAUCGGAAUUACUGGGCGUAAAGCGUGCGCAGGCGGUUUUGUAAGACAGAGGUGAAAUCCCCGGGCUCAACCUGGGAACUGCCUUUGUGACUGCAAGGCUUGAGUGCGGCAGAGGGGGCAUGGAAUUCCGCGUGUAGCAGUGAAAUGCGUAGAUAUGCGGAGGAACACCGAUGGCGAAGGCAAUUCCCCCUGGGCCUGCACUGACGCUCAUGCACGAAAGCGUGGGGAGCAAACAGGAUUAGAUACCCUGGUAGUCCNCGCCCUAAACGAUGUCAACUGGUUGUU
rnacentral:rRNA from 1 species